rnacentral:piRNA from 1 species
UCCAUGAGGUAAAGGUGCUGAAUCGGC